rnacentral:rRNA from 1 species
AUGGGAACGCGAAGAACCUUACCUAGACUUGACAUCUCCUGAAUAGUGUAGAGAUACAUGAAGCCCUUCGGGGCAGGAAGACAGGUGGUGCAUGGUUGUCGUCAGCUCGUGUCGUGAGAUGUUGGGUUAAGUCCCGCAACGAGCGCAACCCUUAUUACUAGUUGCUAACAUUAAGUUGAGCACUCUAGUGAGACUGCCCGGGGUUAACCGGGAGGAGGGUGGGGAUGACGUCAAAUCAUCAUGCCCCUUAUGUCUAGGGCUACACACGUGCUACAAUGGUGGGAACAAAGAGAUGCAAUACCGCAAGGUGGAGCUAAACUCAAAACCCCAUCCCAGUUCGGAUUGUAGGCUGAAACUCGCCUACAUGAAGCUGGAGUUGCUAGUAAUCGCGAAUCAGAAUGUCGCGGUGAAUACGUUCCCGGGUCUUGUACACACCG